rnacentral:rRNA from 1 species
AUUGAACGCUGGCGGCAGGCCUAACACAUGCAAGUCGAACGAGUGGCGGACGGGUGAGUAAUGUCUGUGACACUGCCUGAUGGAGGGGGAUAACUACUGGAAACGUUAGCUACUCCCGCAUACCAUCGGAUGUGCCCAGAUGGGAUUAGCUAUUAGGUGGGGUAAAGGCUCACCUAGGCGACGAUCCCUAGCUGGUCUGAGAGGAGGAUCAGCCACACGGGAACGGAGACACGGUCCAGACUCCUACGGGAGGCAGCAGUGGGGAAUAUUGCACAAGGGGCGCAAGCCUGAUGCAGCCAUGCCGCGUGUAUGAAGAAGGCCUUCGGGUUGUAAAGGACUUUCAGCGGGGAGGCGUUAACCGAAGAAGAAGCACCGGCUAACUCCGUGCCAGCAGCCGCGGUAAUUC